rnacentral:rRNA from 1 species
AGCAGCCGCGGUAAUUCCAGCUCCAAUAGCGUAUAUUAAAGUUGUUGCAGUUAAAAAGCUCGUAGUUGAAUUUCGGGAUCAGUACGCUGGUCGUGCCUUGUGUAUGGUACUGGUGUUACUGGUUCCUACCUUCUGAAGAACCGUCAUGUCAUUAAUUUGGUGUGGCGGGGAAUCAGGACUGUUACUUUGAAAAAAUUAGAGUGUUUAAAGCAGGCUCGCGCUUGAAUACAUUAGCAUGGAAUAAUGAAAUAGGACGUUUGAUCCUAUUUUGUUGGUUUUCUAGGAUUGACGUAAUGAUUAAUAGGGAUAGUUGGGGGCAUUAGUAUUCAAUUGUCAGAGGUGAAAUUCUUGGAUUUAUUGAAGACUAACUACUGCGAAAGCAUUUGCCAAGGAUGUUUUCAUUAAUCAAGAACGAAAGUUAGGGGAUCGAAGACGAUCAGAUACCGUCGUAGUCUUAACCAUAAACUAUGCCGACUAGGGAUCGGAUGAUGUUAUUUUUAAUGACUCAUUCGGCGUCCG